CUUUUGGAGAGUUUGAUCCUGGCUCAGGACGAACGCUGGCGGCGUGCCUAACACAUGCAAGUCGUACGAAUGGUGGAGAGCUUGCUUUUCACCGUUAGUGGCGGACGGGUGCGUAACACGUGAGCAACCUGCCCUUCGGCGGGGGAUAGCCGGUCUAACGGCCGGGUAAUACCGCGUACGACCUCGGGCUCGCAUGGGCCUGGGGUGAAAGCGGCCGCAAGGUCGCACCGGAGGAGGGGCUCGCGGCCUAUCAGCUUGUUGGUGAGGUAACGGCUCACCAAGGCGACGACGGGUAGCUGGUCUGAGAGGAUGGUCAGCCACAUUGGGACUGAGAUACGGCCCAGACUCCUACGGGAGGCAGCAGUGGGGAAUAUUGCGCAAUGGCCGCAAGGCUGACGCAGCGACGCCGCGUGUGGGAUGAAGGCUUUCGGGUCGUAAACCACUGUCGGGGGGGACGAAUACUCGGCCUCGAAUAGGGGACCGAGGGUGACGGUACCCCCAAAGGAAGCACCGGCUAACUCCGUGCCAGCAGCCGCGGUAAUACGGAGGGUGCAAGCGUUGUCCGGAAUCACUGGGCGUAAAGCGCGCGUAGGCGGCUUUUUAAGUCACUUGUGAAAUCCCGGGGCUCAACUCCGGGGCUGCAGGUGAGACUGGAUGGCUAGAGCUCGGUAGAGGCGAGUGGAAUUCCCGGUGUAGCGGUGGAAUGCGUAGAUAUCGGGAAGAACACCAGAGGCGAAGGCGGCUCGCUGGGCCGGUGCUGACGCUGAGGCGCGAAAGCGUGGGGAGCAAACAGGAUUAGAUACCCUGGUAGUCCACGCCGUAAACGAUGGGUACUAGGCGUCGGGGGGAGCGACCCCUUCGGUGCCGCAGCUAACGCACUAAGUACCCCGCCUGGGGAGUACGGCCGCAAGGCUGAAACUCAAAGGAAUUGACGGGGGCCCGCACAAGCGGUGGAGCAUGUGGUUUAAUUCGAUGCAACGCGAAGAACCUUACCUGGGCUUGACAUGCACGUGUAAGCCGGUGGAAACAUCGGCCCCUCUUCGGAGCGCGUGCACAGGUGCUGCAUGGCUGUCGUCAGCUCGUGUCGUGAGAUGUUGGGUUAAGUCCCGCAACGAGCGCAACCCUCGCUCCUAGUUGCCAGCGGUUCGGCCGGGGACUCUAGGGGGACUGCCGGUGUCAAACCGGAGGAAGGUGGGGACGACGUCAAGUCAUCAUGGCCCUUACGCCCAGGGCGACACACGUGCUACAAUGGCCGGUACAGCGCGCUGCGAACCCGCGAGGGCAAGCCAAUCGCUAAAAGCCGGUCUAAGUUCGGAUUGUAGUCUGUAACUCGACUGCAUGAAGCCGGAAUCGCUAGUAAUCGCGGAUCAGCCACGCCGCGGUGAAUACGUUCCCGGGCCUUGUACACACCGCCCGUCACGCCAUGGAAGCUGGGGGGACCCGAAGCCGGUGAGCUAACCGCAAGGAGGCAGCCGUCGAAGGUCAACUCAGUGACUGGGGCGAAGUCGUAACAAGGUAGCCGUAGGGGAACCUGCGGCUGGAUCACCUCCUUU
rnacentral:rRNA from 1 species